rnacentral:rRNA from 1 species
AUGGGCAUCUUGCCGGUGAUCUUUGUACUACUCCCUUUGUUGCCACACCCCCGAGGAGAUUGGGUGCAACCAUCACAUGCCACGCUCGACGGUUGCCCCAAGAGCUGCGGCAAUGUGAGCUUCGGCUACCCCUUCGGCAUCGGAUCCAGGUGUUCCCGGGGGCUUGACUUCAACCUCACCUGCAACAACGCCUCUCAUCCGCCCAGACUAUUCUUGAGGGACGACAUCACUGAGGUGAUCCACUUUGACGACCCUUUUUUCAAUAUAAACUUCAUCAAGGCAUCCUUCUCGCAUACCAUCCCCAUGCAACCUGGUGUCAGUGUUUACAACUUGUCUUUGGUACCUCCUGGGAGGUCCUUCUCUCUCAGGGCCGCUGUUCUAAAGAUUACCGGCUGUGACCUGAAUGUAUACUCUAUCGGAGACGGCGCCACCAUGUUGAUAUGCAGCACUGUGUGCCUGGAUCCAAACAUCCCAGAGAUGGUGGCUAUGCACAACUGUAUAAAUACCUCGGGGUGCUGUCGUGUUGAUGUGGAUGGUGAUAGCAGUUUUCGGUUCAAAAUUGUCUACAACCAAAGCAAAAGCAACAUUGAUGCAUGCUCUAGGAAGAGCUCUCAACUGUGGGAUAGAAUCAGCAUAACUAGUGAUUGGCCGACUGGCUUUCUGCUAUUGUGGCAGAUAAUUGACGAAUCGAACUGCAUUGCUGCCAAGCAAAACAUGACACACUAUGCUUGCACCGGCAAGUUGCCGAGUGCCAUGACAGCACAGCCAAUGUCUGUGACGUCAAAGAUGCUGAGUGCGUUGAUGGAAGUCGUGGCUACAGCUGCAUGUGCAGGACUGGCAUUAUUUCAUCACCUUUUGCAGACAUUUAGAGCUUCACGAGUUGGGUUAGAGGCGGGAUUUGGACAUCCAAUAUUUGUCGGUAAAAUAAUUCAUCUUAGUAGCAAACAAGGAGGAGAUGAUGUGAUUGAAGAAUUUGUGUUUCGAUCUUCGCUGUCCUUUUUCAGGUGA